AGUUAAAAAGCUCGUAGUUGGAUUUCGGGAUGGGCCAGUCGGUCCGCCUAACGGUGUGUUUACUGGCUGGUCUGUUCUUCUUCGCAAAGACUGCGUGUGCACUUUACUGUGUGUGCGUAGGAUUUACGACGUUUACUUUGAAAAAAUUAGAGUGUUCAAAGCAGGCAUACCGCUUGAAUACAUGAGCAUGGAAUAAUGGAAUAGGACUUUGGUCUUAUUUUGUUGGUUUCUGAGACCGAAGUAAUGAUUAAGAGGGACAGUUGGGGGCAUUCGUAUUUCGUUGUCAGAGGUGAAAUUCUUGGAUUUACGAAAGACGAACAAUUGCGAAAGCAUUUGCCAAGAAUGUUUUCAUUAAUCAAGAACGAAAGUUAGAGGAUCGAAGACGAUCAGAUACCGUCCUAGUUCUAACCAUAAACGAUGUCGACUAGGGAUCAGCGAGCGUCUAAUGCGACUUCGUUGGCACCUUACGGGAAACCAAAGUUUUUGGAUUCCGGGGGAAGUAUGGUUGCAAAACUGGAACUUAAAGGAAUUGACGGAAGGGCACCACCAGGAGUGGAGCCUGCGGCUUAAUUUGACUCAACAUGGGAAAACUCACCAGGUCCAGACAUAGUAAGGAUUGACA
rnacentral:rRNA from 1 species